rnacentral:rRNA from 1 species
UACGAAGGGGGCUAGCGUUGCUCGGAAUCACUGGGCGUAAAGGGUGCGUAGGCGGGUCUUUAAGUCAGGGGUGAAAUCCUGGAGCUCAACUCCAGAACUGCCUUUGAUACUGAAGAUCUUGAGUUCGGGAGAGGUGAGUGGAACUGCGAGUGUAGAGGUGAAAUUCGUAGAUAUCGGGAGGAACACCAGUGGCGAAGGCGGCGAUCUGGGCAGAUAUUGACGCUGAGGUGCGAAAGCGUGGGGAGCAAACAGG